GACGAACGCUGGCGGCGUGCCUAAUACAUGCAAGUCGAACGCAGGGGGGACGGGUGAGUAACACGUGGGUAACCUCCCAUCAGAGGGGAGAACACUUGGAAACAGGUGCUAAACCGAUACUGAUGGAUGGACCCGCGGUGCAUUAGCUAGUUGGUGAGGUAACGGCUCACCAAGGCAACGAUGCAUAGCCGACAUGAGAGGAUGAUCGGCCACACGGGGACUGAGACACGGCCCAGACUCCUACGGGAGGAAGCAGUGGGGAAUGUUCGGAAAUGGACGAAAGUCUGACCGAGCAACGCCGCGUGAGUGAAGAAGGUUGUCGGAUCGUAAAGCUCUGUUGGUAGAGAAGCGGUAUCUGACCAGAAAGCCACGGCUAACUACGUGCCAGCAGCCGCGGUAAUAC
rnacentral:rRNA from 1 species